UACGGAGGGUGCAAGCGUUAUCCGGAUUUACUGGGUUUAAAGGGUGCGUAGGCGGCCUGUUAAGUCAGGGGUGAAAGACGGUAGCUCAACUAUCGCAGUGCCCUUGAUACUGAUGGGCUUGAAUGGACUAGAGGUAGGCGGAAUGAGACAAGUAGCGGUGAAAUGCAUAGAUAUGUCUCAGAACACCGAUUGCGAAGGCAGCUUACUAUGGUCUUAUUGACGCUGAGGCACGAAAGCGUGGGGAUCAAACAGG
rnacentral:rRNA from 1 species